ACUCCUACGGGAGGCAGCAGUAAGGAAUAUUGGACAAUGCUCGCAAGAGUGAUCCAGCCAUUCCGCGUGCAGGAUGACUGCCCUAUGGGUUGUAAACUGCUUUUAGAUGGGAAGAAAGUGCGACAUUUAUGUUGUUUUGACGGUACCAUCAGAAUAAGGACCGGCUAACUCCGUGCCAGCAGCCGCGGGUAAUACGGAGGGUGCGAGCGUUAAUCGGAAUUACUGGGCGUAAAGCGCAUGCAGGCGGCCUGUUAAGUCAGAUGUGAAAGCCCGGGGCUUAACCUCGGAAUUGCAUUUGAAACUGGCAGGCUAGAGUCUUGUAGAGGGGGGUAGAAUUUCAGGGUGUAGCGGUGAAAUGCGUAGAGAUCUGAAGGAAUACCAGUGGCGAAGGCGGCCCCCUGGACAAAGACUGACGCUCAGAUGCGAAAGCGUGGGGAGCAAACAGGAUUAGAUACCCUGGUAGGAUAG
rnacentral:rRNA from 1 species